UACAGAGGGUGCGAGCGUUGUUCGGAAUUACUGGGCGUAAAGCGCGCGCAGGCGGCCUUUUAAGUCUGCUGGUGAAAUGCCGGGGCUCAACCCCGUGCCCGCCACAGAUACUGGGAGGCUGGAGACGAGUAGAGGCAAGCGGAAUUCCGGGUGUAGCGGUGGAAUGCGUAGAGAUCCGGCGGAACACCGGUGGUGAAGGCGGUCUCCUGGGCCGAGGGCCGACGCUGAGGCGCGAGAGCGUGGGGAGCGAACCGG
rnacentral:rRNA from 1 species